rnacentral:rRNA from 1 species
CGUGUAGGCGGCCGAAUAAGUCAGAUGUGAAAUCCCUGGGCUUAACCCAGGACGUGCAUUUGAAACUAUUCGGCUUGAGUAGGGGAGAGGAAAGUGGAAUUCCUGGUGUAGAGGUGAAAUUCGUAGAUAUCAGGAGGAACACCGGUGGCGAAGGCGACUUUCUGGCCCUAUACUGACGCUGAGACGCGAGAGCGUGGGUAGCAAACA